rnacentral:tRNA from 1 species
GGGCUAUUAGCUCAGUUGGUUAGAGCGCACCCCUGAUAAGGGUGAGGUCCCUGGUUCAAAUCCA